UGAAGCCUCUGCCUCCCAAGCACUGGGAUUAAAGAUGAGGGGAUGGAAGUUCAUCGAGACAGCACAGCUUCUUCCAGAUCAUAAUGAUCUAAACCCACACUGUUUGAUCUGAGUGACAGUGGGGUUUAAGGCACAUCUGACUGACUCCAAAGUACAGUCCCUUGCCUUCCAGAGGGCAGAGUCCUGAGUCAAAGACAAAAUAUCAUGAAGAAGGUAGUCACACAACAACUGAGGUUCUCGGAACUAAGAUCCCCCAAACCAUCGGCACAGGAGGUCUGUGAAGAAGAGACGUGGGAUGUGCACUGGCUGCCCCUUGGAUCUGGAAAAGGCACCUUUCCCAACCAUACAGUGUGAAGAUGAGUAACAGCUACCUGUGUGGCCCCCACCCACCAGCUGGCUAGCAGUCAUGGUGGUCCUUCAAAAAAGACACAAAGGCCAAGCGGUGGUAGUACACCCCUUUCAUCCCAGCACUCUGAGUUCGAGGACAGCUUGGUCUAAAGAGAAAGUUCCAGGACAACCAGGGCUGUUACACCCUGCCUCAAAACAAACAAGUUGGAAAAAGACAUUCAGAUAUCACCUCUCUGCUGCUCAUUUUCAC
rnacentral:lncRNA from 1 species